GCCUGUCCACCUCUCUCCUGUCCCAGGUGAUGGUGUUAUCAGCUGUGAUGGUUCUGGUCGUCAUCGCCAUCGUCUUCCUCAUCAUCCUCAUCCUCCUCUGGAGAAAAAAACCUCGGUAUGAAGUACUCUGGAAGGUGAUUGAGUCGGUGAGUGCUGACGGACUGCAGUACAAGUACCUUGACCCGACCGACCUGCCGUACAACUCUGCCUGGGAAGUACCGCGGGACAACGUAGUACU